rnacentral:rRNA from 1 species
CAUGCAAGUCGAACGGUAUAUGGUGCUUGCACCAUAGAGAGUGGCGAACGGGUGAGUAACACGUAGAUGAUCUACCCUUUANUUGGGGAUAGCCGAGGGAAACAUGGGGUAAUACCGAAUAAUAUCCAAUGAUGAAAGGAGCUUAUGCUUCGCUGAAGGAUGAGUCUGCGGCUCAUUAGCUAGUUGGUAGGGUAAGAGCCUACCAAGGCGAUGAUGAGUAGCCGGCCUGAGAGGGUGACCGGUCACACUGGGACUGAGACACGGCCCAGACUCCUACGGGAGGCAGCAGCUAAGAAUCUUCCGCAAUGGACGAAAGUCUGACGGAGCGACGCCGCGUGUAUGAAGAAGGCCGAAAGGUUGUAAAAUACUUUUCCUGGGGAUGAAUAAGGUUGGGAGGUAAUGCCUGACCGAUGACGUUAACCAGGGAAUAAGCCCCGGCUAAUUACGUGCCAGCAGCCGCGGUAACACGUAAGGGGCGAGCGUUGUUCGGAAUCAUUGGGCGUAAAGGGCGCGUAGGCUGUUUACCAAGCUUGGUGUGAAAGACCCCGGCUCAACCGGGGGAUCGCGCUGGGAACUGGUAGGCUAGAGUACUGGAGGGGAGUCUGGAAUUCCUAGUGUAGGGGUGAAAUCUGUAGAUAUUAGGAAGAACACCGGUGGCGAAGGCGAGACUCUGGACAUGUACUGACGCUGAGGCGCGAAAGCGUGGGGAGCGAACAGGAUUAGAUACCCUGGUAGUCCACGCUGUAAACGAUGUGCACUAGGUGUAGGAGGGAUACUUUCUGCGCCGUAGUAAACGCGAUAAGUGCACCGCCUGGGGAGUAUGCCCGCAAGGGUGAAACUCAAAGGAAUUGACGGGGGCCCGCACAAGCGGUGGAGCAUGUGGUUUAAUUCGAUGAUACGCGAGAAACCUUACCAGGGCUUGACAUAUGCAUGACGAUCAUAGAGAUAUGGUUUCUUUUCGGAGCGUGUAUACAGGUGCUGCAUGGCUGUCGUCAGCUCGUGCUGUGAAGUGUUGGGUUAAGUCCCGCAACGAGCGCAACCCUUGCUAUCUGUUGCCAGCAUUCAGUUGGGGACUCAGAUGGUACUGCCGGUGACAAACCGGAGGAAGGUGGGGACGACGUCAAGUCAUCAUGGCCCUUAUGUCCUGGGCUACACACGUGCUACAAUGGCCUGUACAGAGUGAGGCAAAACCGCGAGGUGGAGCAAAACACAGAAAGCAGGUCUCAGUUCGGAUUGGAGUCUGAAACCCGACUUCAUGAAGGUGGAAUCGCUAGUAAUCGCGCAUCAGCAUGGCGCGCUGAAUUCGUUCCCGGGCCUUGUACACACCGCCCGUCACACCACCCGAGUUGGGGGUACCCGAAGUCGCUCGUCUAACC